GACGAACGCUGGCGGCGUGCUUAACACAUGCAAGUCGAACGGAAAGGCCCCUUCGGGGGUACUCGAGUGGCGAACGGGUGCGUAACACGUGAGUAACCUGCCCUUGACUUCGGGAUAACUUCAGGAAACUGGGGCUAAUACCGGAUAGGAAUCCUUGCUGCAUGGUGGGGGUUGGAAAGCUUCGGCGGUUUUGGAUGGACUCGCGGCUUAUCAGCUUGUUGGUGGGGUAGUGGCUUACCAAGGCUUUGACGGGUAGCCGGCCUGAGAGGGCGACCGGCCACAUUGGGACUGAGAUACGGCCCAGACUGCUACGGGAGGCAGCAGUGGGGAAUAUUGCACAAUGGGCGGAAGCCUGAUGCAGCAACGCCGCGUGCGGGAUGACGGCCUUCGGGUUGUAAACCGCUUUCAGCAGGGGCGAAGCUUGUGGUGACGGUACCUGCAGAAGAAGCACCGGCUAACUACGUG
rnacentral:rRNA from 1 species